UACGGAGGGUGCAAGCGUUAUCCGGAUUUACUGGGUUUAAAGGGUGCGUAGGCGGGUUGUUAAGUCAGUGGUGAAAGAUUCGAGCUCAACUCGAGAACUGCCAUUGAUACUGACGAUCUUGAAUAUAGUUGAGGUGGGCGGAAUGUGUCAUGUAGCGGUGAAAUGCUUAGAUAUGACACAGAACACCGAUUGCGAAGGCAGCUUGCUAAACUAUUAUUUGACGCUGAGGCACGAAAGCGUGGGUAGCGAACAGG
rnacentral:rRNA from 1 species